AUACGUAGGUGGCAAGCGUUGUCCGGAAUUAUUGGGCGUAAAGCGCGCGCAGGCGGUCCUUUAAGUCUGAUGUGAAAGCCCACGGCUCAACCGUGGAGGGUCAUUGGAAACUGGGGGACUUGAGUGCAGAAGAGGGAAGUGGAAUUCCAAGUGUAGCGGUGAAAUGCGUAGAGAUUUGGAGGAACACCAGUGGCGAAGGCGACUUUCUGGUCUGUAACUGACGCUGAGGCGCGAAAGCGUGGGGAGCAAACAGGAUUAGAUACCCUGGUAGUCCACGCCGUAAACGAUGAGUGCUAAGUGUUAGGGGGUUUCCGCCCCUUAGUGCUGCAGCUAACGCAUUAAGCACUCCGCCUGGGGAGUACGGUCGCAAGACUGAAACUCAAAGGAAUUGACGGGG
rnacentral:rRNA from 1 species